rnacentral:rRNA from 1 species
UACGUAGGGGGCAAGCGUUGUCCGGAAUUAUUGGGCGUAAAGAGCUCGUAGGCGGUCUGUCGCGUCUGCCGUGAAAACCCGAGGCUUAACCUCGGGCUGGCGGUGGAUACGGGCAGACUAGAGGUAGGUAGGGGAGAAUGGAAUUCCCGGUGUAGCGGUGAAAUGCGCAGAUAUCGGGAGGAACACCGGUGGCGAAGGCGGUUCUCUGGGCCUUACCUGACGCUGAGGAGCGAAAGCGUGGGGAGCGAACAGG